UGAUUCGCGAAACGCGAUUCGGAGUCCCGAUCUGAAUCAAAUGUUUUUGGAACUCCGAACGCCAGAUCAUGAUUGGCGAAACGCGAUUCGGAGUCGACCCGAUCUGAAUCAAAUGUUUUGCGAACUCCGAAGCCCCGCUCAAAUGAUUUGUGAAACGCGCCAAAAGUAUUCAGAUGUGUAUAAUGUGCCUUUGUGUUCUAAUAAAAAAAAAAACUUAUUUAUCAUUUCAUAGUUUUCCCACCGACGAAAAUAAAAAAGCAUUAAAUUGGGCUAUAAGGCGAGAGGAGGAGCAGGCGACAAUUACUGCGAGGAAAGGUACUUUAGUGUGUGCUAAGCACUUCACGGAGGAUGUGGUCCGUGUCCAACCGGAGUACGGUCGAUCUCGCACCGUGGGCUGUGCCUUCCAGGUUUGCGUGGAAAAGUUGCGGAGACGUUAAAUCACGCGUCAAAACGGGAUGUUUGUGGUGCAGAGCUCUAAAUGUCGAGAUGGUGCUCGAGCACGAUUACAACAGCCGUCCAGUCCCAGAUUCUGAACACAUCAGAAAUCACCAACCCCUCCUGACAUAUCUUUCCAGUUUGGGUUUUGCAUGGUCCCCAAUAAACUCAACAUGGGAUGCCUCUCCGAUUUCUUUCACACCAGGGCACUUAACCUCUAGCAGGCCACAGAGAGGUUCUUCAUUUGGGUCCACCACUUUGCCAUCUGCACUAAGGUGUGGAGCAUCAGGGUGGAUGAUGAGACCAGAUGGAAGAACGUUAACGUCCAAGGUCUCCUCAUAGAGGUGAAGAACCUCUGGCUCAAGUUUUAAUCAUGCACAUCGCUCUCUAGAGACCCCGACAGAUGUUUACACACAAUGUUUAAUGCAAGAUAUAAAUGCAUUUAACCUGCAAUUACAAAUGCAUAAUGUUUUGACAUUUGAAUCCCAAGAUGUUGAAUACUGAUAUUUGCAAUGAUAAAAGAAAGUGCUUUAAGAGGUGAAAUUAAAAACACCAAUAUCUAGACAAUCAUGAAUUGUAACAUCACUCCCUUUAAUGUUUUUACUAUACAGUUGAUAUGGAAUUUGCUUAAAUGUUAAAUUUGUAAAAAAAAAAAGUAUUACAUAUGAAAAAUUUGCUGUACUUAAGUGGUAGAUAUCUGCCAUUUACUGGAAACCAUUUAAAAUUACAAUUUUAAACAAAAGCACUAUAUAAACAUUCUGAGUGAUUUUAUUACACUAAUAUACAAUCAGACAUCCCAAUUUCUGUUUUGGUAAAGUCAUUAAGUGUCAUGUCAUUUAGAUGAAUUAGAAUUUAAUUUAGGGUCCUGAAAUACCCUGAACACUGCACAGAGGUUAAGAUGAUCAUUGCUACAUAAAAUAAAAAUUGAAACUCA